ACCAAAGGGGGUUCAUUUUCAAUGGUUUUAGACCCAACUCUCAACGGUGAAAAUAUGCGAUUCUGACCAACAUUUUUUAUCGGAUUCGUAUUUGCUCAUUUUUUUAUUCAUUUGGCAUGAAGAAGAUAUCAUUCAACAGCUAAAAGCAUGAUCUUUUCGAAUGUGAAAAAAUCUCGUUCAUACGCAGAGUAAUUCAGAUACAAUAGUGCGCUGAAGUUCGAUUACCUUUUUUUUAUACACCCUGUAUA
rnacentral:lncRNA from 1 species